CAAACGAGAAAUGCUGGGCUUAGAUCAUUAUGCAUCUUCUUCCUCAAUCUAACCUAGCCGUCAACAUAAAGCAGUGAAAGAAGUCUUCAACGUUGCCUUCCAGAUCGUUAUGCAUCUUGAGUAUUAAUCUCCUCCUCCUUUUCUGAUGUUCCAUUCUUUCUUCUUAUUUUUCGUCGUUUUUCAACCGUGGAUGUGGAGAGCUGACGCGUACGUCUCUGUUCAUCAACGUCACCAACGGACCACCAUUGCUAGCCAUAGAUUUCGGCUCUCCUCUUUGUUUUAAGGCGGCGCGGUGACGCCUGAGGUUCCUCCCAGUCUCUGAAACUGUCAGAUUUAUGACUUUUUAUUUGUAUUUUUACUCAACGCUGAUUUGUUUGGCGGUAGAGGAGACCAUCGACUCUGCUUGCUGUUUAAAAUAAAUCCAGAUUCAAACCUCUCCAGCAUCUCCUAGCAUUUACCAUCAUGCAUCCCUCUUAAGUUAUACGCUUAGAUGGACUCUUCUCUUGCAGAUUCCGAAGUCUUUAAAGAUCACAUGAGAGCCUGGGGUUGUUAUUGCACCAAGUUUGCAGCUUUAGAUGAUCGUUUUCUCCAUAAGGUCUUGGGAUGGAGUAUAGUGGAGGAUGAAGCGGGUGGUCUUUAAACAUGGGAUGAGAGAGUAUGUCAUCGGAGAUUUCAUCAAUUUGUUUGGAAGCUUCGCUAUUAAAUUUUGGCACAAUCCUUCUCAAAUUGAGACUAAUAAGGUCUGCAUUUGCCUCAGGCAGUACUGUUUGAUUACUUUUGUCCUUCUGAACCUUACUUUGUUGUCUUUGUGUAUUAUCAGAGAGAGAGAGAAAGGGAGGUAAGCUCUACAGGACAAUGAUAAGUUUGAUUUUUGCAACUUUUAAUAUUUUCCUAACUGUUUCAUGAUGUUCUUGGGACUACUUGCAGUGAUGGUAACGAACGGCUACUUGACUCCGUGUUCAGGGGAAACUCACCCACCUAUAUUUAGGUCUCCAGUGAAAGGUAUUGAGGGCAUCUUGACCAACCAACUCAUGUGAGAAUACGGACUUAGAUCAGAGGUUUCUUCUAACUCUUAGUGCCUCAGCUUCCAAAUCCUUUCCAGUCUCACUCGCUCUUCUUCUCCUACGAUUAGUUGUGCUUCUGUUUGAACUUCCUGUCUUGAGAUUCUCUCCAUAUGUGUGCUGAUUGAGUUUUCCAAUCAUCACAGUAUUUUCUUAACUGCGUAUGUGAAAUUCUUGUGGUGUUUAAGUCAGUGAAAAUAUCAUGUUGAUGCUCUGUUAUACUUUAAUGUAUAUUUAAUUUUCAUUGUAUGAAACAUAUUACACGACAAAUUCUUGAGAUAGAUCUACUGAGGAGACUUUAUACAGCA